GAUGAACGCUAGCGGCAUGCUUAACACAUGCAAGUCGAACGAGACCUUCGGGUCUAGUGGCGCACGGGUGCGUAACGCGUGGGAAUCUGCCCUUUGCUACGGAAUAACUCAGAGAAAUUUGUGCUAAUACCGUAUAAUGUCGAAAGACCAAAGAUUUAUCGGCAAAGGAUGAGCCCGCGUAGGAUUAGCUAGUUGGUGAGGUAAAGGCUCACCAAGGCGACGAUCCUUAGCUGGUCUGAGAGGAUGGUCAGCCACACUGGGACUGAGACACGGCCCAGACUCCUACGGGAGGCAGCAGUGGGGAAUAUUGGACAAUGGGCGAAAGCCUGAUCCAGCAAUGCCGUGUGAGUGAUGAAGGCCUUAGGGUUGUAAAGCUCUUUUACCAGGGAUGAUAAUGACAGUACCUGGAGAAUAAGCUCCGGCUAACUCCGUGCCAGCAGCCGCCGUAAUAC
rnacentral:rRNA from 1 species